UUCAGAGGCGGCAAGCGUUGUUCGGAAUCACUGGGCAUAAAGGGCGCGUAGGUGGUCAAGUAGGUCAAGGGUGAAAGCCCCCGGCUCAACCGGGGUCCCGCCUUUGAAACCACUUGGCUGGAGCGGAACAGGGGAGAGUGGAACUCGUGGUGGAGCGGUGAAAUGCGUAGAUAUCACGAGGAACGCCGGCGGUGAAGACGACUCUCUGGGUUCUGGCUGACACUGAGGCGCGAAAGCUGGGGGAG
rnacentral:rRNA from 1 species